UCGCCUCGUCCCCGAACGCACGCACGGCCGCACCUCUCUUAUCCUUUUCUUCGUUCCCCACUCUCUCGCCAUUUCUUCAUCGCACAUGGGACAGAGGAGCGAGAGAGAGCCCUUGCGCAGGCGGCGAGGCGGCCGGCGGCGAGCCAAUCGGCAGUUAUGCAGCCUGCGCCGUACCCGAAGCUGUGCGAUGUCAGGAGAGGAGGCGUGUGGCGGCGAGGCGAGGAGCGGGAAGAGGCGGGUGAAGCUGCUGUGAUUCGAAUCCUCGAUGGUGGUCGGCGGAGGCAGCAGUCGGCCAAGAUGCCGGCGCGGGGCGCCGUGUUGACGGUGGAGGAGGGAGCCUCGCGCGCGUGGUGAUUGCCGGUCACAGAGGCCGAGGUGCUAGGGGUGGAGAUUGAUGGGCUCGUCGUCCCCGCCGGCCGCCGCCGGCCCCGUCCUCACGCUCCAGCUGGAUCGACCGAUGGAGCUCUUCUGCGCCACCACCAGCCCCGCGGGCGCGCAACCCCGCCACAUCGGUGCGGCCGGACCGACGCUGCCUAUGCGACUACGUCGAGGACGGACUCGUGUGUCAAGGAUGACGAGGAGGAGAACCACGCCGCGGCCCCGUGUUUGGUGCCUACCAAGGGAUCUCCGCCCGCCCCACGUCCUAGCGCGCCUUCGCCCCGCGUGGUCCUGGGCUCCACCAUCGCCUUGUGCAGAUGGGGAUCUGCCACGCGACGGUGCCGUCGGGGCAGGGGUAGCUUGAUUACAAGCUCGACGGUGACGCACAUAUUUGGUCCUCGAGCUGACUACGGCAACAACGUAGCAGUGGUUGGAGCCUUCCACCUUCUUUCACCAGUGAGAACACGAUUGCUCCUUGCCUUCGUCGGUCGUUCGGUGGAGUGAGGGGAGGAUCCUAGUUCUCGGCCAUCUAUGUGGUUUAAGUCAUUCAUAUCUCUAGCGUUGCUUCCACAUUGGAGGUACUUUGCCUCUCUCUCUCUCUCUCCCUCCCUCCCUCCCCUCCCUCUCUCUCUGACUGGCAUCACGGGGGCAUUUACCUUCUUUGGCAGGGGUGGCCUAUGCGGUGUUCAAAGCUUCAUCUGUUGGAAACUUGGUUGUCUUAGUGUGGAGUGCGGGUAUGUUGUAUGUAUCCUUCUGCAGAUUUGCCUUGGAGGCCCGCGAGAAGUUCCGGCAGGCAGCGAGGAAUGGUAGCAGAAUGAUGGUAGCACGUACAUGUGGAGGAGAGGCCGAUCAUGUCAUGGUCUUUCAGAGUGUUGUGGACUGGAGCACCUUUGCCGGCAGCGGAAGAGAUCAUCAGCAGCGAGAGCAGCGCGGCCAAGAGCAAGGCCGCCUUGUUGUUCUUCAUCGCCGCGUCUGCGAGCGUGGCGCGUGAUCAGUGCGUGCGUGUUUAUGUGUGGAUCACCAGAUGGGUGGGAACAGAAGGGAGCUGCAUCGUCUUCUGCCCGGCCG